rnacentral:rRNA from 1 species
AACGUAGGAGCCUAGCGUUAUCCGAAUUCACUGGGCGUAAAGCGCGUGCAGGCGGUUCGGUAAGUUGGAUGUGAAAUCUCCUGGCUCAACUGGGAGAGGACGUUCAAGACUGUCGGACUAGAGGACGGUAGAGGAAGGUAGAAUUCCCGGUGUAGUGGUGAAAUGCGUAGAUAUCGGGAGGAACACCAGUGGCGAAGGCGACUUCCUGGCCUGUUCUUGACGCUGAGGCGCGAAAGCUAGGGGAGCAAACGGG